rnacentral:rRNA from 1 species
GGACGAACGCUGGCGGCGUGCCUAAUACAUGCAAGUCGAACGGUCUUUCUAUGGAAGCUUGCUUCCACUGAGAAGAUAGUGGCGAACGGGUGAGUAACACGUGGGUAACCUGCCCAUAAGAGGGGGGAUAACAUCCGGAAACGGGUGCUAAUACCGCAUAGUUUUCUUGAUCGCAUGAUCGGGAAAGGAAAGACGGCCUUUGUGCUGUCGCUUAUGGAUGGACCCGCGGCGUAUUAGUUAGUUGGUGAGGUAACGGCUCACCAAGACGAUGAUACGUAGCCGACCUGAGAGGGUGAUCGGCCACAUUGGGACUGAGACACGGCCCAAACUCCUACGGGAGGCAGCAGUAGGGAAUCUUCCGCAAUGGACGAAAGUCUGACGGAGCAACGCCGCGUGAGUGAAGAAAGGUUUUCGGAUCGUAAAACUCUGUUGUCAGAGAAGAACAAGUUGGAGAGUAACUGCUCCAGCCUUGACGGUAUCUGACCAGAAAGCCACGGCUAACUACGUGCCAGCCGCGGC